rnacentral:rRNA from 1 species
UUAGAGGAAGUAAAAGUCGUAACAAGGUUUCCGUAGGUGAACCUGCGGAAGGAUCAUUACCGAGUGAGGGUCUCCCGGUGAGCCCGAUCUCUCCACCCGUGUUUACCGUACUGUGUUGCUUUGGCGGGCCCGCCGUUCAGGCCGCCGGGGGGCAGGAUCGAUGCCCUGCCCCCGGGCCCGUGUCCGCCGGAGAUGAGGGAAAAACUCUUGCUGUCGGAUAUGCUGUCUGAGUGGAUAACAGAAGAAAUCAUUCAAAACUUUCAACAAUGGAUCUCUUGGUUCCGGCAUCGAUGAAGAACGCAGCGAAAUGCGAUAAGUAAUGUGAAUUGCAGAAUUCCGUGAAUCAUCGAAUCUUUGAACGCAUAUUGCGCCCUCUGGCAUUCCGGAGGGCAUGCCUGUCCGAGCGUCAUUGCCAUCCCUCAAGCCCGGCUUGGGUGUUGGGCCGUCGUCCCCUGGGGGACGGGCCCGAAAGGCAGUGGCGGCGCCGGGUUCGGUCCUGGAGCGUAUGGGGCUUUAUUACUCCGCUCUGCAGGAUCGACCGGGGCCAGCCUCCCUGGUCUUCCCCCUCUUAGGUUGACCUCGGAUCAGGUAGGGAUACCCGCUGAACUUAAGCAUAUCAAUAA